rnacentral:tRNA from 1 species
CCCGUGCUAUGUAUAGCUCACUUAG